rnacentral:misc_RNA from 1 species
AAGUCAUAACAAGGUUUCCGUAGGUGAACCUGCGGAAGGAUCAUUAACACGUAUCCAACGUUAAACAACCCUGUGAACUUUCAGACGCUCUUGUAGCCCAGGAGGAACAGCAAUCCCGGUAAAUCAAUGGCGGAAAAGUUUUGAUUCGGGACCUCUGUCCAAAAGGUAUCAAGUUACAAUCGAGCUAGGAGCAGUGGCAUGCGGCAGACAUGUCACAGGGCUUUACGCCCCUUCAUUCACCCCUUGCCUAAUCAAGCCCCGCGGAAACGCCGGGCAAAAAAAUCUGAACAACUGUUCACAAUGGAUAUCUUGGUUCUC